rnacentral:rRNA from 1 species
CCUACGGGUGGCAGCAGUGGGGAAUAUUGCACAAUGGGGGAAACCCUGAUGCAGCGACGCCGCGUGAGUGAAGAAGUAUCUCGGUACGUAAAGCUCUAUCAGCAGGGAAGAAAAUGACGGUACCUGACUAAGAAGCCCCGGCUAACUACGUGCCAGCAGCCGCGGUAAUACGGAGGCGGCAAGCGUUAUCCGGAUUUACUGGGUGUAAAGGGAGCGUAGACGGCAGCACAAGUCUGGAGUGAAAUCCCGGGGCUUAACCGCGGAACUGCUGUGGAAACUGUGCGGCUGGAGUUCAGGAGGGGUAAGCGGAAUUCGUAGUGUAGCGGUGAAAUGCGUAGAUAUUAGGAGGAACACCGGUGGCGAAGGCAGCUUACUGGACUGUAACUGACGUUGAGGCUCGAAAGCGUGGGGAGCAAACAGGAUUAGAUACCCGAGUAGUC